rnacentral:RNase_P_RNA from 2 species
AGUUCAGUCUGGGCAAUCGCUCACUUUAUUUAAUUAUUGUGGGAGGAAAGUCCGAGCUUCAUAGAACAGGGUGCCGGGUAACACCCGGGGGUCAUAAAAGAAAUUUUAUGACUACUGACAGUGCCACAGAAAACAAACUUCCCCGUGAGAUAUUUUGCCACGGUUGAUAAAAAGAUAGUGACAAUUUAUCUCACGGGGUAAAGGUGAAACGGCGGGGUAAGAGCCCACCGCUCCAUUGGUAACAACGGAGGCACGGCAAACCACACCCGAAGCAAGGUCAAAUAGGGAAACCGUUUCUUAUUCAUUUAAGAAUCAGAGUUGUUCGCUUUGGAGGUUUCCGGGUAGACCGCUAGAUUCUAUCAGUAAUGGUAGAACCAGAUAAAUGAUUGCCACCCCAUGAGAUAGCCGCCUUACGGCGACAUCUCACGGGGAUACAGAACUCGGCUUACAGGACUGGACAUUUU